rnacentral:rRNA from 1 species
CUACGGGCUGCUCCAGUGGGGAAUAUUGGACAAUGGGGGAAACCCUGAUCCAGCAAUGCCGCGUGUGUGAAGAAGGCCUGCGGGUUGUAAAGCACUUUCGGUUGGGAGGACUGCUUCUAGCACUAAUAUUGUUGGAAGUUGACGUUACCUUCAGAAGAAGCACCGGCUAACUCCGUGCCAGCAGCCGCGGUAAUACGGGGGGUGCAAGCGUUAAUCGGAAUUACUGGGCGUAAAGCGCGCGUAGGCGGCUAGAUCAGUCGGGUGUGAAAGCCCCGGGCUUAACCUGGGAACUGCAUCCGAUACUGUCAGCUUGAGUACAGGAGAGGAGAGUGGAAUUCCACAUGUAGCGGUGAAAUGCGUAGAUAUGUGGAGGAACACCAAUGGCGAAGGCAGCUCUCUGGCCUGAUACUGACGCUGAGGUGCGAAAGCGUGGGGAGCAAACAGGAUUAGAUACCCCCGUAGUC